rnacentral:rRNA from 1 species
UCCCAGACUCCUACGGGAGGCAGCAGUGAGGAAUAUUGGUCAAUGGCCGGAAGGCUGAACCAGCCAUGCCGCGUGAAGGUCAGUGCCCUAUGGGCGUUAAACUUCUUUUGUGCGGGAGCAAUAAUGGUCACGUGUGGCCAGACGAGAGUACCGUACGAAUAAGCAUCGGCUAACUCCGUGCCAGCAGCCGCGGUAAUACGUAGGGGGCAAGCGUUGUUCGGAAUGACUGGGCGUAAAGGGUGCGUAGGCGGUGUAGCAAGUUAGAAGUGAAAUACCUAGAGCUUAACUCAGGUGCUGCUUCUAAAACUGCUAUACUUGAGUGCAGUAGAGGAAAGUGGAAUUCCUAGUGUAGCGGUGGAAUGCGUAGAUAUUAGGAGGAACAUCAGUGGCGAAGGCGACUUUCUGGACUGUAACUGACGCUGAGGCACGAAAGUGUGGGGAGCAAACAGGAUUAGAUACCCCUG